rnacentral:rRNA from 1 species
AGGACGAACGCUGGCGGCGUGCUUAACACAUGCAAGUCGAACGGUGAUGCUCCAGCUUGCUGGAGUGGAUCAGUGGCGAACGGGUGAGUAACACGUGAGCAACCUGCCCCAGACUCUGGAAUAAGCGCUGGAAACGGCGUCUAAUACUGGAUACGAAACUGGCCCGCAUGGGCAUGGUUUGGAAAGUUUUUUCGGUUUGGGAUGGGCUCGCGGCCUAUCAGCUUGUUGGUGAGGUAAUGGCUCACCAAGGCGACG